GACGAACGCUGGCGGCGUGCUUAACACAUGCAAGUCGAACGGAAAGGCCCUGCUUUUGUGGGGUGCUCGAGUGGCGAACGGGUGAGUAACACGUGAGUAACCUGCCCUUGACUUUGGGAUAACUUCAGGAAACUGGGGCUAAUACCGGAUAGGAGCUCCUGCUGCAUGGUGGGGGUUGGAAAGUUUCGGCGGUUGGGGAUGGACUCGCGGCUUAUCAGCUUGUUGGUGGGGUAGUGGCUUACCAAGGCUUUGACGGGUAGCCGGCCUGAGAGGGUGACCGGGCACAAUGGGACUGAGAUACGACCCAUACUCCUACGGGGGGCAGCAGUGGGGAAUAUUGCACACUGGGCGGAAGCCGGAUGCAGCAACGCCGCGUGCGGGAUGACGGCCUUCGGGUUGUAAACCGCUUUCGCCUGUGACGAAGCGUGAGUGACGGUAAUGGGUAAAGAAGCACCGGCUAACUACGUG
rnacentral:rRNA from 1 species